GAAACUUCCAGCCACCCUCGGUGCGUCCAAUCCCGGAUUCACCUCCCUGCAAGUACGUUUUAUAACAAACGUACUUGCAGUAUGGUGAUUCCGGGAUUGGAGGCAGCGAGGGUGGUUGAAAGUUU